GGGGUGAAAGGCUAAUCAAACUUGGAGAUAGCUCGUACUCCCCGAAAUGCAUUUAGGUGCAGCCUUGAGAGUUACUAAUGUGAGGUAGAGCGACUGAUAAGAUGCGAGGGCUUCACCGCCUAUCAAGUCUUGAUAAACUCCGAAUGCGCAUUAGUUCUAUCUCAGGAGUGAGGGCAUGGGUGCUAAGGUCCAUGUCCUAAAGGAGAAGAAUCCAGACCAUCAGCUAAGGUCCCCAAAUAAACACUAAGUUGAACUAACGAAGUCAGAUUGCUAAGACAGCUAGGAUGUUGGCUUGGAAGCAGCCAUUCAUUUAAAGAGUGCGUAACAGCUCACUAGUCGAGGAGUUUGGCGUGGAUAAUAAUCGGGCAUUAAGUGUUUUACCGAAGCUAUGGGAUCAGUAAUGAUCGGUAGGGGAGCAUUCCACUCUGCGUCGAAGGUGAAGCGUGAGCUUUGCUGGAGCGUGUGGAAAAGCAAAUGUAGGUAUAAGUAACGAUAAAGGGGGUGAGAAACCCCCUCGCCGAAAGACUAAGGUUUCCUGAUCAACGCUAAUCGGAUCAGGGUUAGUCGGGUCCUAAGGCUCAGCCGAACGGUGAGGCCGAUGGCAGAACAGGUUAAUAUUCCUGUACUACCUGUAGGAGUGAUGUGGAGACGGAGGAGUGACAACGCCGCGGACUGACGGAAUAGUCCGUUAAAGGGUGUAGAUGUUGAUUAUCCCAGGCAAAUCCGGGAUAAGAGUCGAACCUGACAGUAUACCAAUUUCCCCGGAAAACGGUAAUAGUGCGUGUAAACAUACUCCCAAGAAAAUCCGCUAAACUUAAUCUUACAGGUACCCGUACCGUAAACGGACACACGUAGUCGGGUUGAAUAUACUCAGGCGCUUGAGUGAAUCACGGUUAAGGAACUAGGCAAAUUGACCCUGUAACUUCGGGAUAAAGGGUCCCUACCCGGUGACGGGAGGGCGCAGAGAAUAGGUCCAGGCAACUGUUUAACAAAAACACAGGGCUGUGCAAAAUUGAAAGAUCACGUAUACAGCCUGACACCUGCCCGGUGCUGGAAGGUUAAGAGGAGAUGUCAUCGCGAGAGAAGCGUUGAAUUGAAGCCCCAGUAAACGGCGGCCGUAACUAUAACGGUCCUAAGGUAGCGAAAUUCCUUGUCGGGUAAGUUCCGACCUGCACGAAUGGUGUAAUGAUCUGGACACUGUCUCAACCGUGAGCUCAGUGAAAUUGUAGUAUCGGUGAAGAUGCCGAUUACCCGCGAUGGGACGAAAAGACCCCGUGAACCUUUACUAUAGCUUAACAUUGAAUUUGGGUAAUUGAUGUGUAGGAUAGGCCGGAGACUUUGAAGCAGGCACGCCAGUGUUUGUGGAGUCGCUGUUGAAAUACGGCCCUUUGGUUAUUUGAGUUCUAACUCGCUGAUGCGAGGACACUGUUUGGUGGGUAGUUUGACUGGGGUGGUCGCCUCCAAAAGCGUAACGGAGGCUUCUAAAGGUGCCCUCACGCCGAUUGGUAACCGGCGGUAGAGUGUAAUGGCAUAAGGGCGCUUGACUGGGAGACUUACAAGUCGAUCAGGUAGGAAACUAGAGCAUAGUGAUCCGGUGUUUCCGUAUGGAAGGGACAUCGCUCAAAGGAUAAAAGGUACUCCGGGGAUAACAGGCUGAUCCCUCCCAAGAGCUCAUAUCGACGGAGGGGUUUGGCACCUCGAUGUCGGCUCGUCACAUCCUGGGGCUGGAGAAGGUCCCAAGGGUUGGGCUGUUCGCCCAUUAAAGUGGCACGCGAGCUGGGUUCAGAACGUCGUGAGACAGUUCGGUCUCUAUCUAUCGUGGGCGUAUGAAAUUUGCGUGGCUCUGACACUAGUACGAGAGGACCGUGUUGGACUGACCUCUGGUUUACCGGUUGUGCCGCCAGGUGCAUUGCCGGGUAUCUAAGUCGGGAUUGGAUAAGUGCUGAAAGCAUCUAAGUACGAAGCCAGCCACAAGAUUAGAUUUCUUAGGGUCGUUAAAGACGAUGACGUUGAUAGGAUGCAGGUGUAAAGGUGGUAACAUCAAAGCCGAGCAUUACUAAUUGCCCGUUCACUUUCUUUC
rnacentral:rRNA from 1 species